UACGUAGGCAGCGAGCGUUGUUCGGAGUUACUGGGCGUAAAGGGUGUGUAGGCGGUUGUUUAAGUUUGGGGUGAAAUCUCCCGGCUCAACUGGGAGGGUGCGCCGAAUACUGAAUGACUAGAGUGCGGGAGAGGAAAGUGGAAUUCCUGGUGUAGCGGUGAAAUGCGUAGAUAUCAGGAGGAACACCGGUGGUGUAGACGGCUUUCUGGACCGUAACUGACGCUGAGACACGAAAGCGUGGGGAGCAAACAGG
rnacentral:rRNA from 1 species